GAUUCCCCUAGUAACGGCGAGUGAAGCGGGAAGAGCUCAAAUUUAAAAUCUGGCGGUGUAUUCCGUCCGAGUUGUAGUCUAGAGAAGCAUCAUCCGCGCUGGACCAUGUACAAGUCUCUUGGAAUAGAGCGUCAUAGAGGGUGAGAAUCCCGUCCUUGACAUGGACUCCCAGUGCUUUGUGUUGUGCUCUCAACGAGUCGAGUUGUUUGGGAAUGCAGCUCAAAAUGGGUGGUAAAUUCCAUCUAAAGCUAAAUAUUGGCGAGAGACCGAUAGCGAACAAGUACCGUGAGGGAAAGAUGAAAAGCACUUUGGAGAGAGAGUUAAACAGUACGUGAAAUUGUUGAAAUGGAAACGCUUGAAGUCAGUCGCGUUCUCUGGGAUUCAGCCUUGCUUCUGCUUGGUGCAUUUCCUAGUCUACGGGCCAGCAUGAAUUUUGACCGUUGGAAAAAGGCAGGGGGAAUGUGGCACCUCCGGGUGUGUUAUAGCCCCUUGUCACACACGGCGGUUGGGAUUGAGGAUUCAGUGCACGCUUCUGUUGUGCUUUGAUGCUGGCGUAAUGGCUUUAAACGACCCGUCUUGAAACACGGACCAAGGAGUCUAACAUGUCUGCGAGUGUUUGGGUGCUAAACCCAUGCGCGUAAUGAAAGUGAAAGUUGGGAACCUUUUAGGGGCACCGACGCCCGGACCAGACCUUCUGUGACGGAUCCGAGGUAGAGCAUAUAUGUUGGGACCCGAAAGAUGGUGAACUAUGCCUGCAUAGGGUGAAGCCAGAGGAAACUCUGGUGGAGGCUCGUAGCGAUUCUGACGUGCAAAUCGAUCGUC
rnacentral:rRNA from 1 species